AACGCGAAGAACCUUACCUACUCUUGACAUCCAGAGAAUUUAGCAGAGAUGCUUUGGUGCCUUCGGGAACUCUGAGACAGGUGCUGCAUGGCUGUCGUCAGCUCGUGUUGUGAAAUGUUGGGUUAAGUCCCGCAACGAGCGCAACCCUUAUCCUUUGUUGCCAGCGGUUCGGCCGGGAACUCAAAGGAGACUGCCAGUGAUAAACUGGAGGAAGGUGGGGAUGACGUCAAGUCAUCAUGGCCCUUACGAGUAGGGCUACACACGUGCUACAAUGGCAUAUACAAAGAGAAGCGACCUCGCGAGAGCAAGCGGACCUCAUAAAGUAUGUCGUAGUCCGGAUCGGAGUCUGCAACUCGACUCCGUGAAGUCGGAAUCGCUAGUAAUCGUAGAUCAGAAUGCUACGGUGAAUACGUUCCCGGGUCUUGUACACACCG
rnacentral:rRNA from 1 species